UAAAAUAAAGGCAUUUCGCGUAAAUUUAAAGCAAUCAAGCAGUCCGGUCGGACUGCCCCGCCAAGCUAGAAAAAAAAUGCACACACAAAAAAAAACAACAAUAACAAUACAAACGUGAUGACAUGACAGUCCGGCCACUUACUGCUUACAUUCUCUGAACAACUAAGCGUAUUUUCGAUGUUCAAUUUCUCGCGAAUAAAAAAACGUACGAUUCUGAUUUUUUGAUAUGUUGUUGGCAUCAACGAGAGCUUUAAUUUGGUAUAUUUACAAACUUUCUACGGUAAAAAAUUAUGUAGAUUAGAGUACCCAAAGUUAGCAUUUUGGGGUAAUUUUUGAAAUCACAAAUCUUCGUGUCAACAAAAAACUACUGAACCAAUUCAAGUCAAAUUUCGUACACUGGUGUAAAUUAACGAGUUAUUUCUAAAUACAACGUCAGUUUUUAAAAAAAAUUAUUUUUGACCCACUUUUUCUCAAUUUGAAAAUUUCUCUCCCCCCAAAAACACCCCCAAAAUGAAAAUUUUUCGUGGUACCGUAGAAAAGCAUCAUCUACAUCAUAUUCACUAUCAAUGUGCAAAAUUUCAAGCAAAUCGGUUCAUUAGGAGAGGCUGUAGCCCUGACAACGGAAAUUACCUUCAUGAUUUUUCAGUGACAGAGAUGAGAAAGUAGUGGAAAAGAAGAAACAAAAUAAAAAUUUUUAGUUGACGUGUAAAAAAGGGUCAUCUACAUGACUUACAGUACCUUUAUACAAAAUUUCAAGUAAAUCCGUUCAUUUGAAGAGGCUGUAGCCUUGUCAACGGAAAGUUCCGGUGGUUAUUUUACCGAUUUACGGCAGCGCCGGUAGACGUAGAGAUAAAUGAUAAAAGGAGGAGAAAGCUGUUUGGGCGAAGCCCAAGGGGGGGUGUGGGGGGACGAAGUCCCCCCCAACGAACAGAAACAGUAAACAGUGAUAAGAAGUUUUCGUUUGUGAAUCCGGUGAAUCGUGAUUUUAGUUUAAAUCAUACUUAAAAGUAUUACAAAUGGUUGCUGAUAAUUUGAAAGACAGAAUAAAGAAUCGGAAAGCUGAACCUCAGUUCAUGCAGAUUGAAAGAAAUAACUCUAAAAGAAAUCGUAGGCUGGUAUGAAACAUGUCAGUUUGUUAAAUCUAUCUAUCUAAGAACAAAAUAGCCUUGAUUCCGAGCAAAAAUCAAAGAAAAAUGACAAAGAAGCUCAAUAUUGGGGUAUCGCCACACAAACUAAACAAAAAGAUCGCAAACAGAAGUAACUUUUGAGAUGAUGUACAGUUUUGCUCGGUUCUCAGUUAAUCUAAUACAGUUACUAAAUACACAAUUGGCCAAAGUGAUCAGAGGCAAUUUGUGCAUGUAUGAUAUGAACGAUGAAAUGGUCUAAUACAUUUGUAAAGAAGUGAAAUCUUUCUAUUUCAAUAAUAAAAGGGUAGAUUAUAC